CCUACGGGAGGCAGCAGUGGGGAAUAUUGGUCAAUGGACGAGAGUCUGAACCAGCCAAGUAGCGUGAAGGAUGACUGCCCUAUGGGUUGUAAACUUCUUUUAUAUGGGAAUAAAAUGUUCCACGUGUGGGAUUUUGUAUGUACCAUAUGAAUAAGGAUCGGCUAACUCCGUGCCAGCAGCCGCGGUAAUACGGAGGAUCCGAGCGUUAUCCGGAUUUAUUGGGUUUAAAGGGAGCGUAGGUGGAUUGUUAAGUCAGUUGUGAAAGUUUGCGGCUCAACCGUAAAAUUGCAGUUGAAACUGGCAGUCUUGAGUACAGUAGAGGUGGGCGGAAUUCGUGGUGUAGCGGUGAAAUGCUUAGAUAUCACGAAGAACUCCGAUUGCGAAGGCAGUUCACUGGACUGCAACUGACACUGAGGCUCGAAAGUGUGGGUAUCAAACAGGAUUAGAUACCCGUGUAGUC
rnacentral:rRNA from 1 species